UACAGAGGUCUCAACCGUUGUUCGGAUUCAUUGGGCGUAAAGGGCGCGUAGGCGGUCCUUCAAGUCAGGCGUGAAAGCCCCGGGCUCAACCUGGGAACCGCGCUUGAGACUGGCGGGCUAGAGUUCGGGAGAGGAUGGUGGAAUUCCCAGUGUAGAGGUGAAAUUCGUAGAUAUUGGGAAGAACACCGAUGGCGAAGGCAGCCAUCUGGACCGACACUGACGCUGAGGCGCGAAAGCGUGGGGAGCAAACAGG
rnacentral:rRNA from 1 species